rnacentral:rRNA from 1 species
UACGAAGGGUGCAAGCGUUAUCCGGAUUCAUUGGGUUUAAAGGGCGCGUAGGCGGGCCAGCCAGUCUGUGGUGAAAGCCUCCAGCUUAACUGGAGAAGUGCCGUGGAUACUGCUGGCCUCGAGGAGGAUAGGGGCAUCUGGAACGGUCGGUGGAGCGGUGAAAUGCGUUGAUAUCGACCGGAACUCCGGUGGCGAAGGCGAGGUGCUGGGUCCUUUCUGACGCUGAUGCGCGAAAGCCAGGGGAGCAAACGGG